AGCAGCCGCGGUAAUUCCAGCUCCAAUAGCGUAUAUUAAAGUUGUUGCAGUUAAAAAGCUCGUAGUUGAAUUUCGGGAUUGGCGCAUCGGUCGUGCCUCACGGGGUAUGAACUGGUGCAGUCAAUUUCUCACCUUCUGGAGAACCGCGAUGUCCUUAAUUGGAUGCCGCGGGGAACCAGGACCUUUACUUUGAAAAAAUUAGAGUGUUUAAAGCAGGCAUUUUUGCUUGAAUACAUUAGCAUGGAAUAAUAAAAUAGGACGGCAUGGUUCUAUUUUGUUGGUUUCUAGGACCACCGUAAUGAUUAAUAGGGAUAGUUGGGGGCAUUAGUAUUCAAUUGUCAGAGGUGAAAUUCUUGGAUUUAUUGAAGACUAACUACUGCGAAAGCAUUUGCCAAGGAUGUUUUCAUUAAUCAAGAACGAAAGUUAGGGGAUCGAAGACGAUCAGAUACCGUCGUAGUCUUAACCAUAAACUAUGCCGACUAGGAAUCAGACGAUGUUAAU
rnacentral:rRNA from 1 species